AAACAACCCCCUUUGUUUUGAUUCUUUGGCAGUUUUGGACCCCCAGACCAUUAGUGAGGUUUAUUUAGGGGGCCACGUGGCACCUCACUAAUGGACUGGGGGUUCAAAACUGCCAAAGAAUCAAAACAUAGGGGGCUGUUU
rnacentral:pre_miRNA from 1 species